UGGGGAAUAUUGGACAAUGGGCGAAAGCCUGAUCCAGCCAUGCCGCGUGUGUGAAGAAGGUCUUCGGAUUGUAAAGCACUUUAAGUUGGGAGGAAGGGCAGUUACCCAAUACGUGAUUGUUUUGACGUUACCGCCAGAAUAAGCACCGGCUAACUCUGUGCCAGCAGCCGCGGUAAUACAGAGGGUGCAAGCGUUAAUCGGAAUUACUGGGCGUAAAGCGCGCGUAGGUGGUUAGUUAAGUUGGAUGUGAAAUCCCCGGGCUCAACCUGGGAACUGCAUUCAAAACUGACUGACUAGAGUAUGGUAGAGGGUGGUGGAAUUUCCUGUGUAGCGGUGAAAUGCGUAGAUAUAGGAAGGAACACCAGUGGCGAAGGCGACCACCUGGACUGAUACUGACACUGAGGUGCGAAAGCGUGGGGAGCAAACAGGAUUAGAUACCCAAGUAGUCCCUGAGCGGGCUGGCAAGGCGCAU
rnacentral:rRNA from 1 species